rnacentral:rRNA from 1 species
GCGCGAAAACUUUACAAUGCCGGCAACGGCGAUAAGGGGACCUCGAGUGCCAGGUUACAAAUCUGGCUGUCGAGAUGCCUAAAAAGCAUUUCAUAGCAAGGGCCGGGCAAGACCGGUGCCAGCCGCCGCGGUAACACCGGCGGCUCGAGUGGUAACCGUUAUUAUUGGGUCUAAAGGGUCUGUAGCCGGCCGGAUAAGUCUCUUGGGAAAUCUGGCAGCUUAACUGUCAGGCUUUCAGGAGAUACUGUUCGGCUCGAGGCCGGGAGAGGUGAGAGGUACUUCAGGGGUAGGGGUGAAAUCUUGUAAUCCUUGAAGGACCACCAGUGGCGGAGGCGUCUCACCAGAACGGACCUGACGGCAAGGGACGAAAGCUAGGGGCACGAACC